ensembl:lncRNA
UAGAAAGGCAAAUGAAAAACUCCAAUUGAGAAAUAGGUCUGCUGGUGGGGAAAAAAAAUAAUGCUGCGUGUAGAAAUCUCUAAGCUUUCAUCCAUUUCUAGGAAACUGGAAUGGGAGGAGCAUUCCUCCUACUCCUGAAGACAUCUGCAGUGUGGGGAUAUAGGGAAACUACUGCAGUACAAGCAUGACUUUAGCAAAUUAAAGUUUGUCAGAAUCUCAGCAAACUUUCCACUGAUCUGGGUUCACUUAUGCUUUUGUUACAGUUCUGGGCUUCUUUCUGAUGUUUCCCUUUGGACGUGUACUUUAAAACUAUUUCAUGAACUUGAGAUGCUUGAUUGUCCGCACAGUCUCAAGAGUAAGCAAGAUAUUUCUUUCUAUGGUCGUCUUCUUCCUCCUCCUCCUGCCUCGUUUUCAACUCAGCAUCUGGCAAAGAUGGACAAACUCUGGGACGUAAAAAUUCCCUUAACUAUUUACUAUGGUAAAAAGCAUUCUUUUUUUACCCUUGAGAGGAGCACAAAGAGACUCCCUAAAGGAAGGAAGAACUUCCUAAUGUGAAAAUAAACUACUAGAAAAUACAGCCCUGGCCCAUUUAUAAAAAGAGAACAGAUGCAGCAUGGAAGAAACAGUAAGAGAAUGCUUUUUCUUUGUACCUCCUUUUGGUUGAAGUUGGCAAAAUGAAAGCAAAGGCUGGUCAGCACAUUUUCCAUCAUAAUCUAAGACUACGCAGAUGGAUCACAAAGAACUUCAGCAGUCAACACUACAUGCUUUAACGCGGACUAAAGCAAACUCAAGAUAAGCUUCAUCAAUAGCUGGAAGUGAACUUAAAAACAAAAAUGUUCAAAGCCAUUACGAAAUGAAAGCUACCUGUGAGGUACUGUGACACUAGAAGCUCCCAGGCUGAAUGAAAUAUGAAACUUGCUGGAAGAGUACAACACAGGUUACAUGCACCUUGCAACAGUUAUCCCACAAGGAUACAGAAAAGCUGAAAUGUUUUUUGAGAUCCAAGGGGAGGUUCAAGAAUUACAAUUAUAAAAAGCACAAGCACUUAGCGCUAACACCUCCAAACAGUAUCUCAAGUACAGGAAGGAUGGCCCCCAGACACAAGCCCUCAGAGCUGGACCUGAAGCAACAUGCUCUCAAGCUUCGUGAAGCCCGGAACCUCUCUCUGCUUCCAGCAGUGUGCAAAGACACCCUGCAGUACUAGGCUAUUAAUCAAUGCCUAAAGGCAAAACAAAAAGCUGUGUUCAGACUUCACACAGCUGCAACUUCUUCCACCUAAACCCCAGAGGUCCGAAAAUCUCUUUGAUUAGUAGGAACAAGUGUUCCACGAGUAACUAAUCCACAGAGGAGUAAGUGCGAGAGCAUCAAAGUGUCCAUAAACACUCAAAUUGCUCAGCACAGCUAGGCAUUCAGCCUUUAAAAAUGCAGCCUCACUGAGAAACUAUGCACCAUGAACAAACCAGUCACCAAGUACACCAAAGGCGAGGCAAAGAAACACAUCACUGAAACACUAUUUUGUGUUCCCACCAGUUUAACUCAUCUUCAUACAAAGACAGUAUGAAACAUAAGGUACUUUGGUUACCAUUAAAAAAAAAACACUUUAAUAUAAAACAUUAAGAAAUGGUGUCCUUAAGCUAGAUCAGGAGUCUCGUAUCCUUAAAGACUGUGUUAAGUGUGAAGCUGUCAGUAGCAUUAGUAUUCACUAACGACAAGAGGAAUUUUGUCCCAUUUAUAACAAGCUGUUAUGCUUUCCCUAUCUGUGAAGAGCCAGUGCAGUCAAGCCAUGGGAAAUAUAAGAAAAUUACUGGAAUUAGCAGGGGUGUAUACGUUUCUGUGUUUCUAGGAAGGCUGAAGUACGAGAAUUUCACAGAUGUGGGGACUUUUGAGAGCGUUCCAAUUGAAACAAACUUGCAACAAACCCUGCGGAGAGGUUCAUUCAACAGGAUGAGCUAACCAAGAAAACAGUCAUUUCUGGCUAGUUGCAUCAAUAUUAGCAGCAGCUGUGAACUCGGUAAACAGCUCUGUUUUCUGGUUGUCAAAGAGCUGCUAAAGCAGAUGUGAAACUCAUCAAAAAUAGGUCACGAGCAGAGAACAUGCAAGGGAAUGCAUCAAUACCAGAGUGAUCUGAAAAUAAGCAAUGCUGGAUUAUCUCAAUAGUUUUUAUUACCCCCAAAUCGUACCUAACACACAACAGCAACCAACAUACUCUUUAAUGUGAUUGCUAUGACAGGACCUUCCUCAUAGCACACUGGGUGAAUAAGGGUGUGGUGUUUUCAGCAGCUGAAGUACCAGAAAGAAGAAAAGGUACUGAAUUGCUCUCUGCUUACUUCUGAAUGAGGUUUUCUGAGGCAGGUUUUCAUGCCUGUCCUUCUUCUCAAACUCUAAUCAUCUCAGACUGAGGUAUCACAAUAAGCCAAACACAGAAUUCGCCACAGCUUAUUUUACUUUUGCCACUACAAACAGAUUACAAGUACACUCUGUCCGAUAGGCAACCCUCCAGCAACAGCCAUUCCUCCACGGGCAGGAAUCGUGGCCAACACAGCAAUGACCUUCCCCCCUCGUGGCCCACAGGACCCACUUCCUCAGAAUUCCCCCAUACGGAAAUUCACUUGGAUCUACUUCUAGGACUCUCACAGUAUGUAAAACACUUAACUUUCUUUACUGUCAAGAAUAUAAAGGCAGAAGGCUUAGCUCUAAAGGAAACAGACUAAGAAAAAAAAAUGGCGUGCUUCUUCUACAGUGGGACUAAACAAGGAACCUGUAUGUCCUGCUAUUGCUGCACCGAAUCUCCAUGGCCAUCCUUCACAGUGCAGGUGUGAGGCUGCCUUUGGCCAAAUGCCUUCAACAAGCUGAGUUGAAGCCCCAUAGCCUGAAGCAGACAAGUACUUCCCCAGUCAGUCAGUUACUGGGUGAGGACAGACACUCUCUUCUCUGGUUGUUUCCACUUCCACUACAAUGGCAGAUUUUACCUCCAACACCUAAUGACAUCAUAUAAUAAAACACUAGUAAGGAGGAGCUAGUCAAACCAACAAACAGAAAAGCCACUGUUAGCCUGAAAGUUAAUGUCAUGUUCAAAUGGGAGAAAACAGGUCUUCGGGAAGCAUUCAGAAAAAAUACUCCUUCAUUUAAGUAGCAGCAGCUCAGAAUAAAGCACUGAAAAAAAUAGAAACCGUGAAGAGGCUUCAGUUUAUUGAUGUUCCAAACCAGCUUUCCAGAAUUUCAGAAGAGAGGGAGGAGAGAGGGGGGAAAAGAGUUCACAUCCAACUUAAAAGAAAUCCCAUGACUUAUCUCAGUCGGAAGCCUUUGCUGAGCCAAAUGUAUGUGCAUUUUAGCACACAUUUCCUAUACCACAGAACCUAGGGUGAAACAUGGUUGUUGAUUACCAUAUUAAAACGGGUGUC